rnacentral:rRNA from 1 species
AGAACGAACGCUGGCGGCAUGCCUAAUACAUGCAAGUCGAACGAAGGCUUCGGCCUUAGUGGCGCACGGGUGCGUAACGCGUGGGAAUCUGCCCCUUGGUUCGGAAUAACAGUUGGAAACGACUGCUAAUACCGGAUGAUGACGAAAGUCCAAAGAUUUAUCGCCAAGGGAUGAGCCCGCGUAGGAUUAGCUAGUUGGUGAGGUAAAGGCUCACCAAGGCGACGAUCCUUAGCUGGUCUGAGAGGAUGAUCAGCCACACU